rnacentral:rRNA from 1 species
AUUGAACGCUGGCGGCAUGCCUUACACAUGCAAGUCGAACGGUAACGGGCCUUCGGGUGCCGACGAGUGGCGAACGGGUGAGUAAUGUAUCGGAACGCACCUUUCAGUGGGGGAUAACGUAGCGAAAGUUACGCUAAUACCGCAUACGAUCUGAGGAUGAAAGCGGGGGACCUCCGGGCCUCGCGCGAUUGGAGCGGCCGAUGUCGGAUUAGCUAGUUGGUGAGGUAAAGGCUCACCAAGGCGACGAUCCGUAGCUGGUCUGAGAGGACGACCAGCCACACUGGGACUGAGACACGGCCCAGACUCCUACGGGAGGCAGCAGUGGGGAAUUUUGGACAAUGGGCGAAAGCCUGAUCCAGCCAUGCCGCGUGAGUGAAGAAGGCCUUCGGGUUGUAAAGCUCUUUCAGACGGAAAGAAAUCUCUCGGGUGAAUAUCCCGAGAGGAUGACGGUACCGUAAGAAGAAGCACCGGCUAACUACGUGCCAGCCGCCGCGGUAAUAC